UUAACUAUUGCCAGAAGGUUUUGUAAAAAUGAAGAUCAGCAAAGGUGGACUGAUCUUUCAUGUGACACACUUGAGAUACAGAAGUCACGUUUUUAAAAAUCUUUGUUUUAGGAGUUUACAUAUAGUUCAGUAUUGUUGUUUCAAAAUAUAGGUUUGCCUAAAACAGUAUUCUGUUUUAUUCUUUUGUUAUAAUCUUAAGCAGCAAAGAUAAAGCUCUAAUGAAUAUUUGAAUCUAUUUAUGGGUCUAUACAUUAAAUUCACUUCAAUGAAUUUGUUAUUGUAAUAUAUUUACUUUUACAUGGUUGUAAUCACUUUAUAUCUUUCUUUUUUUCACUUAAUAGUAUUUUAUAUAUACAUUUUCAUUUAUUGAUAGUCAGUCCACAUAUUUAAAUUUUUAUAGAAUUAUAUAGCUUUUGAAAAAUAUAGUUAGUAGACUUUCAUUUUAUAGCUAUGGAGUAUUUGAUUAUGUUUAUAAGUUUGCACAACUGCUUCUGUGAAAUUAGGUAUUUAUUGGCUUUUAUUUUUUUUAUUAUCACAGUAGUGAUGUAAUUUUUUUUCAAGUUGGAGUGAAUGUUCCUAGUUAUAAAGCUAACUCAAAAUAAGGACUUAGAAGAUAAUUCUUUAGCAUGUUUGGUCACAGCCUGUUUUGUUUUUGUAAACAUUGAAAGACCUUUUAAUGUAAGGAUUUGUCAUAUUUUUGAACUAAGGUUCUUGAUCUUGUCUCCCAAAGAAUUCUCCAGGAUUUAGCAGAGCUGCUAUAAAAGUGACUUCAUGCUUACUUGUUGCUCAUUCUUGACGCUUAGAAUAAAAAGCAUUGACUUGUGUUUCGUCUGCUUUUUACUUUUUAUUUUUUAAUUUCUAAAUUGUAAGUGUUCCCUCUUUUGGGCAAAUUCUUAUAAAAAUGUUUAUUGUAAAGUUAUAUAUUUUGUCUAUGAUGGGAUUAUGCACUUCCCAAUUGGGAUUUUACAUCA
rnacentral:lncRNA from 1 species